CCUACGGGAGGCAGCAGUGGGGAGUAUUGCGCAAUGGGCGGAAGCCUUAAGCAGCGAAGCCGCGGGAAGGAUGAAGGUCUUCGGAUCGUAAACCUCUGUCCGCAGGGAAGGAAGGUCACUGUGCUAAUCAGCAGUGCAUUGACGGACCCUGACUAAGAAGCAGCGGCUAAAUACGUGCCAGCAGCCGCGGUCAUACGUCUGGUGCAAGCGUUAUCCGGAUUUAGUGGGUGUAAAGGGAGCGCAGGCGGCGCGUUAAGCCUUGUGUGAAAGCCCGCGGCCCAUCCGCGGGACGGCAUUGGGAACUGGCGCGCUGGAGUGCCGGAGGGGUAGGCGGAAUUCCUAGUGUAGCGGUGAAAUGCGUAGAUAUUAGGAGGAACACCAGUGGCGAAGGCGGCCUACUGGACGGUGACUGACGCUGAGGCUCGAAAGCGUGGGGAGCAAACAGGAUUAGAUACCCCGGUAGUC
rnacentral:rRNA from 1 species